UGGGGAAUAUUGCACAAUGGGGGAAACCCUGAUGCAGCGACGCCGCGUGAACGAAGAAGGUAUUCGUAUCGUAAAGUUCUGUCCUAUGGGAAGAUAAUGACAGUACCAUAGAAGAAAGCUCCGGCUAAAUACGUGCCAGCAGCCGCGGUAAUACGUAUGGAGCGAGCGUUGUCCGGAAUUAUUGGGCGUAAAGGGUACGCAGGCGGUUUAAUAAGUCGAAUGUUAAAGAUCGGGGCUCAACCCCGCAAAGCAUUGGAAACUGAUAAACGUGAGUAGUGUAGAGGAAAGUGGAAUUCCUAGUGUAGUGGUGAAAUACGUAGAUAUUAGGAGGAAUACCAGUAGCGAAGGCGACUUUCUGGACACAAACUGACGCUGAGGUACGAAAGCGUGGGGAGCAAACAGG
rnacentral:rRNA from 1 species